UACGGGGGGGGGGGCAAGGCGUUGUUCGGAAUUACUGGGCGUAAAGGGCGCGUAGGCGGCCUUCUAAGUCGGACGUGAAAUCCCUCGGCUUAACCGAGGAACUGCGUCCGAUACUGAAAGGCUUGAAUCCGGGAGAGGGAUGUGGAAUUCCAGGUGUAGCGGUGAAAUGCGUAGAUAUCUGGAGGAACACCGGUGGCGAAGGCGGCAUCCUGGACCGGCACCGACGUUCAGGCACGAAAGCGUGGGGAGCAAACAGG
rnacentral:rRNA from 1 species